CCUACGGGAGGCUGCAGUGGGGAAUAUUGCACAAUGGGCGCAAGCCUGAUGCAGCCAUGCCGCGUGUGUGAAGAAGGCCUUCGGGUUGUAAAGCACUUUCAGCGGGGAGGAAGGCGUUAAGGUUAAUAACCUUGGCGAUUGACGUUACCCGCAGAAGAAGCACCGGCUAACUCCGUGCCAGCAGCCGCGGUAAUACGGAGGGUGCAAGCGUUAGUCGGAAUUACUGGGCGUAAAGCGCACGCAGGCGGUCUGUCAAGUCGGAUGUGAAAUCCCCGGGCUCAACCUGGGAACUGCAUUCGAAACCGGCAGGCUAGAGUCUUGUAGAGGGGGGUAGAAUUCCAGGUAUAGCGGUGAAAUGCGCAGAGAUCUGGAGGAAUACCGGUGGCGAAGGCGGCCCCCUGGACAAAGACUGACGCUCAGGUGCGAAAGCGUGGGGAGCAAACAGGAUUAGAUACCCCAGUAGUC
rnacentral:rRNA from 1 species